CUGCUCUGUGAUCUCCAUGAGCUCGGCUUGUCCCCUCCAGUUGCCUACAACAUCCAAGCUGUCUUCAGUAUGCUUUCUCCUGAAGCUUACUCCUAUCUUCUUUUGCCAAGGACUUUUCUGUGCAGUGCAAAGAUAGCAGAUAUACUUCAUCUGAAGUACCAUCUCCAAUCAAUUAAUAGUACCUGUCUUGAUGAUGUUUUAUGAAAAGGAUUCUGAAGCCAGGUCUCAGAUCAGUGUGAAAGAGGAUUAUAACUAGUGAUGUUUGCUGAGAGUGGGAGAAGGGGAGUAGCAGCACAAGUGCCACAUAUGUGUCAUAUUUAAUAUUGUGUUUUCUGUGAAAUACUCUGUUUCUGUGCCUGUAUUUUAGUCUUGGCUACUUGUAGAUGUUGCAUUGCUGCUGCCGCUGCUGCUGUUACUACAACUACAAUUGCUGCCAGUUGCUCCUUGCGUAGGACCAGAGUGAUCAUUCAUCAGAAACCUCAUCUUCACAGUCUGGGGUUUGUUCCUGUGGCUGGUAUUCACAGUUUUCCCCUUCCAACUUUACCUCAGCUAUCCCCUUACCUACAUUAACAGGUAGGCUUCCAGUUUAUGUUCACCACCCAACAGGCUCAUAUUUCCUUUUUCUUAUUUAGUGUGAUUAAUCAUUAGUGCUUCAUGAGAAGCCUUCUUUCUGUUAGAAAAUGUGACAACUAGAAUACAAGUUAAACCAUUCCAUUCAGGGCCCUACAGUGAGUCAUGUAAGCUCCCUUUUAAAAUGAGAGAAAGUUGAGCAUGCUUGCAGACUAUAAGGCAUGUCUUUGUACGUGUGGAAGAGAAAUGAUAACCUAUCGCUCUUAGAAUACAGGUGGAGGCCUAUCCUUAGAUGAAAGGAGUUACCUCUUCACUGAGGUAUAGUGAUGAUAAGAAUAGGAGUUGGGAAGAGUACCUGAUAAAGGUGUUGCAGAUUUGUAAUUGUAGAGGUGGAUGGUGGAUAGGCAGCUGACCAGGGAUCAGACUGUGGACAAAAGAGUCUAAGGAAUAUCCAGGCCAAAAGGCUGGAGCAGAGCACUUACGGCAUAUGGAAGUGGGCAGCUAGUUUGAAAGUUGAUUAGAGAGGAAAAUAUAAAGUGGUCUUGGGCCACUGUCACAACUAACAUUCGGUUGCCUGGAACUGACCUCGAUUGAGGGAUGGACAGCUAGGAAGAGAGGUGUUACACAGAAAUGGAAUUAAGGAUCCAGAGUGUAUAUGGAAGGAAGUUAGUUCAGAAGUGAGUUCAAAGUCUGUACAGAAAAAGAGGCCUUAGUGUGUUCAAGAUGGAUGUUGAGUAGUUAGAAAACUGGAAUGAUAGGACCAGUAUCAGAAAGUGAACUUUGGAAUGUUAAAAUUUAAAAACUAGAGCAAGAUACUUGUGAUACUAGGAUGUCAGAUGGUCAUUUGCCUGGAUAUUGAAGUGACCUGGGAUUAUAGUAAAAGCUGGGCUAGGAAUGAGACUGUGAGCUAGAUAAAAUAGGCUUUAGUAACUGAGUAACUAUCUGGAGAUUGGCACAUGACAACUCUGCAGAUGCAAGAGAAGAGAGGAUGUAGUGGGAUAGUAGUACAAGUCUCAAAGAGUGGUGAGGAUUAUUAGAAGAUACAGAAACUGUGCUUCGCACAUUAUACUGAAGUUUUGGCUGGCAGAAUGCACAACUAAAAUGAUCCUCUCCUAUAUCAAGUGCUUGUUCUAUGCCAAACACCUUGCUGUGUGCCAUCUGUUUAUCCCUUUGGGGUCACAUUUUUUGUGCGAAAAUGAGCCACAAUCCCAGGCAAGGAUAGCUAGGCUGCUGACCCUCAGCACUGGUAGAAUCCUCUAGCCAUCUACUAACUCUGGAAGAGCAACAGGCUGGUCGUCUGGAAGUAUCAUAAAGAGAUUUCUUUAGGAUUGAAAUUUUUCCUUGACCUUGAUGUAACUUCAUUAUGUGAUACAAGCUUUUGUUGGCUCUGUUUCAUAAUGUGCUUUGGCUUCUGAGUCUCUAAGUUGAGAAGUGAACUAAUACUGCCCUUUGGGAAAAACAGGCACAGUACUUUAAAAAUACACACUGAUUAAUCGGAGCAAGACACAGUCAUAUUAUCUAAAUGAGUUUUCAAGAUAAAGAGUAGGCAAAAGAUAGUGCACAUCAAUGGGUGAAUAACAAAACCACUUUGUAAAAGCCAUUUAGGGUCAGGAUACUUCCAGUUUGGUUGCCAUAUUAUAGGUGUUCCCUGUGCUUUUGGGAAGGAAGGCUGGAUUGAUGCAAAGAGAUGGCUGUUAGGACUUGGAAGUUUAGGAAGAGAGUCUCUGUAAACCCUCUGAUAUUGCUUGCAGCCAUUUUUCUUUUGCAGUAGUCUUUAAAUGAGUCAAUAUUCCUAAAAGCUAUAGAGCCUAUAGACCAGGCUCUCAGAUAGCCCAUUCCCUCUUGUGGGGCUGCUCUAUAUUUGUUCCUUAGGAGUUGCUGGUAGAAGACUUCAUGAAGGAGAGAAGAAAAGGAAAAAAUCAGAGGAUGACUACAGCCUCCUUCAUCUCAGCUUUUCAAAGCAUUACUCAACAGAGGGAUCACUCUCUUGAAUACUCUCCAGACCACAGGAUGAUUGGGCCAGAGACAGUGGGCAGAAUGACUUCAGGCAACCCCAAACACCAGAUAUGGCAUAAGGAAACAGUUCAAGGAAAAGGUCAAUCCUUGGACCUAGUAUUUGUGAUGCAAUAUCUUAAAUUAAAAGGAAGAGCUGCUUUGGAGAAGGGUUUUAAAAGAUUGUAUUUCAUAGAAAGAAGAAAGAUUUGAGGAGAAACUUCCAAUUAUAUAAGAUGGGCAUUAUAACUUUUAAAGACAUCUGUUGCCUGCAUGGGUCAUAGAGAUUGAUACCAGUAUCAGCCUGUGGCUGACUAGGCCAGUUUAAGUGGUUUCCUGUUCGAAGAGAGAUGCUGCCAUUCUCUCACUUUGGCAGGUAUUCACCUGCAAUGAGUCCAGUACCUGGAGGAGCAAGAAAAAAACAAGCAUCCAGGGGGACAAUAGUAUAGCCUUCUGAGUUAAGAUAGCAACUGAAAAGAUCAUGGGAUUGGCUGCACUGGGCUGGGCUUGUUUGUUUUUUCAAAAUAAAAAAGUUUUCUUUUUGAUGACAAAAGUAAGAGAUGAUCAUUCUUUAAAAAUAAAGUGAAAAGUAUAAAAG
rnacentral:lncRNA from 1 species